rnacentral:rRNA from 1 species
CCUAACUUCGGGAGAAGGAUGACCCUGAGUAGGCGAAAGGGAGAAACCCCCGGAACAGAAAAGGGUGGCAGAAAAGAGGCCCAAGCAACUGUUUACCAAAAACACAGGUGCCUGCGAAAGCGAAAGCUGAAGUAUAGGUGCUGACGCCUGCCCGGUGCUGGAAGGUUAAGGAGAGAGGUCAGCGAAAGCGAAGCUUUGAACUGAAGCCCCAGUGAACGGCGGCCGUAACUAUAACGGUCCUAAGGUAGCGAAAUUCCUUGUCGGGUAAGUUCCGACCCGCAUGAAAGGCGUAAUGAUUUGGGCACUGUCUCAACGAGGGGCCCGGUGAAAUUGAAAUACCUGUGAAGAUGCAGGUUACCCGCGACUGGACAGAAAGACCCCAUGGAGCUUCACUGCAGCUUGAGAUUGAAUCCCGGUGACAUAUGCACAGGAUAGGUGGGAGGCUAAGAAGUAAUGCCUUUGGGUGUUACAGAGCCGAUGUUGGGAUACCACCCUUAUGUUGCUGAGAUUCUAACACGGAGACUAACAACCUCGUGGACCAUCUCAGGCAGGCGGUUUGACUGGGGCGGUCGCCUCCUAAAAUGUAACGGAGGCGCCCAAAGGUUCCCUCAGGCCGGACAGAAACCGGCCGAAGAGUGCAAAGGCAGAAGGGAGCUUGACUGCGAGACAGACAAGUCGAGCAGAGACGAAAGUCGGGCUUAGUGAUCCGGUGGUACUGAGUGGAAAGGCCAUCGCUCAACGGAUAAAAGCUACCCUGGGGAUAACAGGCUAAUCUCUCCCAAGAGUUCAUAUCGACGGGGAGGUUUGGCACCUCGAUGUCGGCUCAUCACAUCCUGGAGCUGGAGUAGGUUCCAAGGGUUGGGCUGUUCGCCCAUUAAAGUGGUACGCGAGCUGGGUUCAAAACGUCGUGAGACAGUUUGGUUCAUAUCCAUCGCGGGCGCAAGAAGUUUGAGGGAGGCUGCUCCUAGUACGAGAGGACCGGAGUGGACGGAUCAACGGUGUACCAGUUGUCACGCCAGUGGCACGGCUGGAAAGCCGCAUCCGGAAAGGAUAAACGCUGAGAGCAUCUAAGCGUGAAGCCCGUCCCGAGAUGAGACUUCUCAUCAGCAAUGAGUAAGACCCCUUAAAGACGAUGAGGUCGAUAGGCUGUGAGUGGAAGUGGCGCAAGUCAUGGAGCGACGCAGUACUAAUAGGUCGAGGUCUUACC